UGGACGUUCAUGUCCCAUUUACUGAUGGUGGCAUUUAGUUUAUUGUGGCCACUUCGCAGUCUCAUCAGUGCAGUUUGUAUGGCUCUAUUCCUGUGUGUAUGCCAGGUGCAUACGCCCAUUCGGUUUCUAUUUGUUACGGCUUGGUUGGUGGAGUUUUGUUUUAUUUUUUCGAGUGUUCUGUUUUGGUGUUUGUUUUUAUUUUCGUUAGGAUUUCUGCCAUGUUGGGUGAGUGCGUCAUCGUCGCCCCGUCGUCUGCACUUCUUCUGAUGUUUGCUAGCUGGUCUGCGAUUUCAUUUCCUCUUAUUCCAGAAUGACUUGGUAUGGAUGUGCUUGUUUCCCAUUUGAAGUUGGAGAUUGCUUGGAUAGCUGACUUGGAGUCUGUUAAUAUGGUGAUUUCGUUCCAGAUUUGAUUGUAUAUAUACAGCACAGGUGGUCUUCAGUGUCUUCAGACAAGUUGAUCCGUCAGUGAAGAUGGCUAUGUGGUCUUUAUGUUCACUGUUCCUAAUCUCAAGGAACAUCGUUGAGGUUCCAUGGUGCUAUUGGAUGAGUGUAAGGUUGGUGUGUGGGCUCUGGCAAUUGGGGGAUUAUUCCAUCUUCUACUGCGUUGAGAUGCCUUAUUAUUGCAGGACUUUGCAGAGGCAUGAUGUGAGGGAUAUUGGCCUAUAGGAAUCAGGCAAAUUCGGUGGCUUGUUCGGCUUUGGUAUGGGUACGACGAUGGCAUUCUUCCAUUCUGGGGUAAGU